rnacentral:rRNA from 1 species
GUGGGGAAUAUUGCACAAUGGGGGAAACCCUGAUGCAGCAACGCCGCGUGGAGGAUGACACAUUUCGGUGCGUAAACUCCUUUUAUAUAGGAAGAUAAUGACGGUACUAUAUGAAUAAGCACCGGCUAACUCCGUGCCAGCAGCCGCGGUAAUACGGAGGGUGCAAGCGUUACUCGGAAUCACUGGGCGUAAAGAGCGUGUAGGCGGAUAUAUAAGUCAGAAGUGAAAUCCAAUAGCUUAACUAUUGAACUGCUUUUGAAACUGUAUAUCUAGAAUGUGGGAGAGGUAGAUGGAAUUUCUGGUGUAGGGGUAAAAUCCGUAGAGAUCAGAAGGAAUACCGAUUGCGAAGGCGAUCUACUGGAACAUUAUUGACGCUGAGACGCGAAAGCGUGGGGAGCAAACAGGAUUAGAAACCCUUGUAGUCC